AUGUGGAAACAUUGUGCACAGGCAAUGGUGGUGAAAAACAUCUGCUGCAUAGGAGCCGGCUAUGUUGGGGGUCCUACGUGCAGCGUUAUUGCCCACAAGUGCCCUGACAUCAAAGUUGUGGUCGCAGACAAGAGCCCUGAGCGCAUCAAGCAGUGGAACUCUGAUGAGCUGCCUAUUUAUGAGCCUCAAUUGGAUGACAUUGUCAAAAGCUGUCGUGGACGGAACCUCUUCUUUUCAUGCGACAUAGACAAGGCUAUCCAGGAAGCUGAUCUGAUCUUCAUUUCAGUCAACACGCCAACGAAGAACUAUGGGUUUGGAAAGGGAAGGGCAGCCGACCUGCAGUAUGUGGAGGCUGCUGCCAGGAGCAUAGCUGAGAAGGCCACUACGCCAAAGAUUGUUGUCGAGAAAAGCACGGUCCCAGUCAAGGCUGCAGAGAGCAUUAGCCGUAUCCUCAAGGCCAACAUCAUUCAGGGAGCUAACUUCCAGGUUCUUUCAAACCCUGAAUUUCUAGCCGAAGGCUCAGCUGUUGCGGACUUACUUGACCCAGACCGCAUCCUCAUUGGGGGAGAGCAGACACCCGAAGGCCAGGCAGCUAUUCAAGAGCUGUGUUCUGUGUACAAGCACUGGAUUCCUGAAGAUCGUAUCAUCACCAUGAACACCUGGUCUUCAGAGCUUUCCAAACUGGCUGCAAAUGCUUUUCUAGCCCAGAGGAUUUCUAGCAUCAAUGCAGUCUCUGCAAUCUGUGAGUCAACGGGAGCUGACGUUUCUGAAGUGGCACAUGCCAUUGGGAGUGACAGCAGAAUUGGGACAAGGUUUCUACAAGCCAGUGUUGGUUUUGGAGGCAGCUGCUUCCAAAAAGAUGUGCUGAAUUUGGUUUACCUGUGCGAAUGCCUCAAGCUUCCAGAGGUUGCCAACUACUGGUAUCAGGUUGUAGAAAUGAACAGCUUUCAGAGAACUCGGUUUGCCCAGCGAAUUAUUGAGCGGCUCUUCAACACUGUGGCCAGAAAAAAGAUCGCAGUGCUUGGCUUUGCCUUCAAGAAGAACACUGGUGACACUAGAGAAAGUGCAGCUAUCUACGUGUGCAAACACUUGAUGGAAGAAGGAGCCUUUCUCAACAUCUAUGACCCAAAAGUCCCAAAGCAACAGAUCAUCGAUGACCUCAUUGGCUCAGGAGAACAGGGCGAUGUGUUAAAGCAAGUGGAGAUUUUCCAGGAUGCCUACUCUGCUGCUCAAGACACCCAUGCCAUUGUUAUUUGCACAGAGUGGGAUGAGUUCAAGUCUUUGGACUACCAACAGAUCUACAACGCCAUGUUAAAACCUCCGUUCCUCUUUGACGGGAGGCGCAUUGUUGACAUCGCCAAGCUCGAAUCCAUCGGCUUCCAGGUUGAGGUGGUUGGCCAAAAGACGGCGCGUCACAGUCUCAACCGUCACAUUGCCAACCACAUCUGAGGUGGGGUGGCCACUGGUGCCUCAUCCUGGCUGCACUGCCAAGCUCUAGGUUUUUGUUGCAUUUUUAGGGUCCACACGCAUAGUUCAGAGCAUCACAAUUGCGUUUGCUACCCUUGUGGGCUACGCAAGCACAAUUAGCUGAUAGCAGAUGUGAUGGAAACCCUCCCACUUUCGAAGUUUAGCUUUCCAAGAUCAGCUUGAAGUAAUAUGUUGAAUAACAAUGCAUUUUGUCACAAUUUGUUUGCAAGAUCAUUGCUAUGUAAUCAAGGUUGUAAUUGUAAUGGGUCAGACUGAUUUGCAUCAGUGGCACCCGUAAGCAGUAAUAACCCUAGCUGAAGUAAAAAAGAACAUAAUCUGAUGCUUUGAUUUGGAUGCCAUGGAAGCCCUGAAGUAUUCUCAAAACGCUAAAGUUACCGUAUUUGCAUGGUUCUACCGCGCCUCCGAUAGUAACGCGCAGUUAUAUUACUGGCCAAAUAUCCAAAAAAUAGCUUGGUGCCGAUUCUACCGUGCACAUCAAGUAACGGAACCUGAGUUGACAGGUACUGUGUUGAGACGAUUUUACGCAACGUACAAAGGCACGCAAACAGUUUUUUUACAUCCUGCCUCUGGACUACCUCGACAAAAGGCGGUUGAGCAGAAGCACCAUGACAGGUGUACAGCAAACUGGAAAAUGUCGACCGUAAACCAAGGCAUGAAGAAACAAUGUCCGUUUGAUGGCAGUGUGGCUAGCUACCUUGCAUAGAGCUUUUUUUUUUUUUUUUUUUAGUAGUAAGAACCGGUUUCGUUUAUGAUUUUGAGUAGAAUUAGUUAUGAUUGUAACGCGCAUGCAAAUUUGAACGCGCUUUUUAUUCAAGAAAAGUGCGCAUUAGAAUCGUGCAAAUAUGGUAUGUCUUCUCUUUUGCUUGCACUACUAUUUAUGAGGGCAGAAAGCAUGCUGGGUUUAACAGAAGCUUGCAUUUGAGGUACUUAUAGUUGGAAUUGAGUUGUGAUUUAUGUAUUUGCCUUGCAUUACAAGCAGUAUAUAGGCUGCACUUGGCUUCUAAUGCACCCUUUGCUCUAUCUAAUCCAGACGGAGUAGUACAAGUGGAACAGUAACAGCUCUAUUGUGCAACUGAUGUGCAAUAUACUGUGUUGAAGCGGUGAAUCAAAAUGCAUCAGCAGCCAGUCAGUAGAGAUCUGAACACCAUAUCACGUUUCUUGUGCUUGGACAUCUUUUAGAUGCUCUUAAUCAUUUGUACGGGAAUUCAAUGUAUACCGUUUGCUACAGUGCCACGAAACACUUUAUCAGGGCAUGCACUGCACAAGGUAUGCCAGUAGCAGCUGCUGUUCUGCCAGGUGAUUCUUUUUUACACAUUUUAUAUACAAGUCUUAUUGUGUUGUGUAUUUCUUGCGUCUGUGUAGCACAGACAUUCUUUGUUCCUAUAUUUGGCAAUGUAUGUAGGCAUUUCUUUUAGCACUUGGUAAAGAGACUCAUCUUUAGGGCGUUCCGACACAAAGAGAACCUCUAUCCUGUGUUUUACACUUGUUAUUCUUAGUGAUGAAAUCAAAGAGUGUUACUUGCUCCUCUAGGUUGUUGGCAUAAGCUUUUGUCUUGCAUGUAUGACGGGCUUCUUGUGUUUAUUUCUUAGUUGAGCAUUAAUUUCUUCAGGC
rnacentral:misc_RNA from 1 species